GAUGAACGCUGGCGGCGUGCCUAAUACAUGCAAGUCGAGCGAACGGACGAGAAGCUUGCUCCUCUGAUGUUAGCGGCGGACGGGUGAGUAACACGUGGAUAACCUACCUAUAAGACUGGGAUAACUUCGGGAAACCGGAGCUAAUACCGGAUAAUAUUUUGAACCGCAUGGUUCAAUAGUGAAAGACGGUCUUGCUGUCACUUAUAGAUGGAUCCGCGCUGCAUUAGCUAGUUGGUAAGGUAACGGCUUACCAAGGCAACGAUGCGUAGCCGACCUGAGAGGGUGAUCGGCCACACUGGAACUGAGACACGGUCCAGACUCCUACGGGAGGCAGCAGUAGGGAAUCUUCCGCAAUGGGCGAAAGCCUGACGGAGCAACGCCGCGUGAGUGAUGAAGGUCUUCGGAUCGUAAAACUCUGUUAUUAGGGAAGAACAAAUGUGUAAGUAACUAUGCACGUCUUGACGGUACCUAAUCAGAAAGCCACGGCUAACUACGUG
rnacentral:rRNA from 1 species